rnacentral:misc_RNA from 1 species
GCCCUCUCCACUCUCCUUAUACCAUUCUAGGGUUUUGUCCUUCUGGUACUCACGUUUCACAGAGCUCACUCUAUCAUACACACGCAGAGCUGAGAGAUGUGGAGAUCCAUAGCUGCUACAUCCAAACAGUUGGCACGGAAUUUUGGUGUAACCAGAAACCCCGACAAGGUUAGGGUUUCCUUGCUUCCUUAUCCAAACUUUAGAUUUCUCUCAAACUCGUCCGUGAACGUCGACCAAUUCGGCCCUGCGAACGAUUCUUCAGCAUUUUUCAGGGGAAAUAGUGAUACCCAAAUCCAGAGUUUUGCUUCUGAAGGAGAUGCUGAUGGUUUAUCAGAGCAGUUUUCACAGGCUUUAGGUGAAAAUGGCGAUUACCAGAUUGAGAAUUUUGCUUCUGUGAGUGAUAACAUUGGCACGCCUGAUCAGCUUUUUAGGGGUUUAGUUGAGGAAGGUGAGGGUGGAAAAGAAGAGGCAGGGGUUUAUGAGAUAGAUAUGGAGAAAUUAGAGAAUGUGUUGUCUUUGUUACAGAGUAGUGCUGACGGGUCCUUAGAAUCAAGUCUUGAUAGUAUGGGUUUGGAUUUACACGAGGAGUUUUUAAUGAAAGUGCUUGAAACCCCUUUUGUUUUGGGUGAUAAUUUGAUUAGGUUUUUCAAGUGGGCGAUUAAGGAGCCAGAUAUCAAUGCGACUACCCGUUUAGUUGAUGUACUUGUUCGAGCUAUUUGCAGUGACCUCAAAAAGAAAGAUGCAUAUGCAUUGUGGGAUUUAAUUAGGGAGGUUUCUGAGAAGGAUAAUGUUGUGCUGAAUGUGGAGAUUCUUAAUCGGUUGAUAGCUUUGUUUUCGAAGCGGGGAAAAGGGAAGGCGACUUUAGAGGUUUUCAACAAGUUUGGGGGACUCUGGGUGUGUCCCGGAUUCAGAGACCUACUAUUAAACAAUUGAAGCCCUUUGUAGGCGAUCCUUUUUUGAGUGGGCUUGGUCAGUUUGUGAGAAGAUGCUCAAUGCAGAAGCCUUGCCUGACAGUGAGAAAGUUGGUAAGAUUAUCUGUUGGUUUUGUAAAGGGAGCAGAGCAAAUGAUGCCCAUAUGAUUUAUAUGCUGGCGAAGGAGAAGAACAAGUAUCCAUCUCAGUCUGCAGUCACUUUUCUGAUUUGUUUGCUUUCGCGGAAAGAUGAAACAGUUAAAUUAUGUUUGGAUAUGUUGGAUUCCUUCUCUAGAGAAACACGGAAGUAUGCAAUCAAGCCCUUUUCAUCUGUUUUUUGCGGUUUUUGUAGGAUCAAAGAUUUUGACAGGGCAAAAAUGUUACUAACCAAUAUGAUUGAUGAGGGCCCACCUCCUGGAAAUGCUGUUUUCAAUACCAUUAUUAAUGGUUAUUCCAAGUGUGGAUAUAUGAAAGGGGCAAUGGAGAUGAAAAAAUUGAUGGAAAGGAGGGGACUGAAACCGGAUCUUUUCACUUAUACAGUUAUUGUGAGUGGUUAUGCAAGUGGUGUUCAGAUGGAGAAGGCUUGCAAAAUACUGUCUGAAGCCAAAAAUAAGCACUCUAAGUUGAGUCCUGUGGCUUACCAGUUACCACACACUUAUUCGUGUUUAUUGCAAACAUGAACAGUUUGACAAGGCUUUGGAGUUACUAACAGAGAUGAAGGAAUUUGGGGUCCAACCUAAUGUGGAUAAGUACAAUAAGUUGAUCCAAUCUCUAUGCUUAAAGGCAGAUUGGGAAACAGCAGAGAAGGUGUUGGAGAAAAUGGAGGAGGAUGGCCUUCAUCUAAAUGGAAUCACAAAAGGCCUUAUCAGAGCAGUUAAGAAGGAGGGGUUGCAGAAAGAAGUAAGCGUUGAAACCUGAAUUAUUUUUUGGUAUGGAUACCACAUGCAGAUGCUCAAUUUUUAAAUAUGUAGUUUUUAUUUUAUAUACUAUUAUACUUUUCUUCAUAAGAUAAUCAGUGAAGCUCUCCUAUACUUUUUGGCAUGCGUUCAAUCUCUGUGCACACGAAUCAGAUUGAAAGGGAAGUUUCAUUUUGGUUCUUAUGAUCGAUUUCUUUGAUGUUCUUACCUGAAAAUAGAAUGCAUGAUUUGAAUGUCUUGUAUAUGUUGGACAUUUGUAUGCUUCAUGUAGGAAUAGAAACAAAUUGAUUGUGUUUUCAGUAGUCUGAAUUUUAAUUUUGUCUAAUAAAUGAAUCCAUUUAGGCUUUUAGCUGAGUAGAGUAUAUUGAAUCCAUUCCCAUCGUUAGAAAUGUUUCUCUAUUUGGAUUUUGUUAAUUCAUUUUAAAAAUUGCCAUUGCUGAAAUAGAUGGACUUGCUUAUGCAUUAUAACUUUUUAUAGGAUAUACUUUUUUAAUACAUUCAGUUUUAUUUUUAAGCAUUUCCUUCUUGGAUUGUUAUUAUCCUUCCUUUUGAACUUUAAUUUGAGGAUUUUUUUAUUUAACUUUGGAUUCAACUAAUAGGUGAUGUCCAAAGAGGUGAACCAACCUGUUUGGUAAACCCAUCAAAACUGCAGCUGUUAGGCCAUCUAUCAGCAGCAGUUUUAUCAGCUCCAUUUUUAGAGUGUAGCUGCUUUGAUUUUAUUUUUUAUUUUGA